rnacentral:rRNA from 1 species
AGUGAACGCUGGCGGUAGGCCUAACACAUGCAAGUCGAACGGCAGCACAGUAAGAGCUUGCUCUUACGGGUGGCGAGUGGCGGACGGGUGAGGAAUACAUCGGAAUCUACUUUUUCGUGGGGGAUAACGUAGGGAAACUUACGCUAAUACCUCAUACGACCUACGGGUGAAAGCAGGGGAUCUUCGGACCUUGCGCGUUUGAAUGAGCCGAUGUCGGAUUAGCUAGUUGGCGGGGUAAAGGCCCACCAAGGCGACGAUCCGUAGCUGGUCUGAGAGGAUGAUCAGACACACUGGAACUGAGACACGGUCCAGACUCCUACGGGAGGCAGCAGUGGGGAAUAUUGGACAAUGGGCGCAAGCAUGAUCCAGCCAUACCGCGUGGGUGAAGAAGGCCUUCGGGUUGUAAAGCACUUUUGUGGGGAAAGAAAAGCAGCAGGUUAAUAACCCGCUGUUCUGACGGUACCCAAAGAAUAAGCACCGGCUAACUUCGUG